CCUACGGGAGGCUGCAGUGAGGAAUCUUGGUCAAUGGACGAGAGUCUGAACCAGCCAAGUAGCGUGAAUGAUGACUGCCCUCUGGGUUGUAAACUUCUUUUAUAUGGGAAUAAAACGUUCCACGUGUGGGGUUUUGUAUGUACCAUAUGAAUAAGGAUCGGCUAACUCCGUGCCAGCAGCCGCGGGCAUACGGAGGAUCCGAGCGUUAUCCGGAUUUAGUGGGGUUAAAGGGAGCGGAGGUGGAUUGUUAAGUCAGUAGUGAAAGUUUACGGCUCAAACGUAAAAUUGCAGUUGAAACUGGCAGACUUGAGUACAGUAGAGGUGGGCGGAAUUCGAGGUGUAGCGGUGAAAUGCUUAGAUAUAACGAAGAACACCGAUGGCGAAGGCAGUUCACUGGACUGCAACUGACACUGAGGCUCGAAAGUGUGGGUAUCAAACAGGAUUAGAUACCCUUGUAGUC
rnacentral:rRNA from 1 species